rnacentral:rRNA from 2 species
GCCUGGCCCUAAAUCUUGAUGCUCGAUCUUACCGGAGCAUCCGCCCGAGAACUACGAGCACUAACGCUUAAAACUCUAAGGACUUGGCGGUGUCCCAAACCCACCUAGAGGAGCCUGUUCUGUAAUCGAUGAUCCACGAUAUACCUGACCAUUCCUCGCCAGAUCAGCCUAUAUACCGCCGUCGCCAGCCCACCCAGCAUGAAGGACCAACAGUGGACGCAAUAGCCUCACCCGCUAAUAAGACAGGUCAAGGUAUAGCCUAUGGAAUGGAAGCAAUGGGCUACAUUUUCUAAGCUAGAACAUAACGGCAAAGGGACAUGAAACUGACCCUGGAAGGAGGAUUUAGCAGUAAAGUGGGACAAUCGAGCCCUCUUUAAGCCGGCCCUGGGACACGU